UGGGGAAUAUUGCGCAAUGGGCGAAAGCCUGACGCAGCGACGCCGCGUGUGGGAUGAAGGUCUUCGGAUCGUAGACCACUGUCAGAGGGGACGAAUGCCGGGCGUUAACUGCGACCCGGCUUGACGGUACCCUCGGAGGAAGCACCGGCUAACUCUGUGCCAGCAGCCGCGGUAAUACAGAGGGUGCGAGCGUUGUCCGGAAUCACUGGGCGUAAAGGGCGUGUAGGUGGCUUGGUAAGCCGCGUGUGAAAUCCCGGGGCUCAACCCCGGAACGGCACGCGGGACUGUCAGGCUAGAGCAUGGUAGAGGCGAGUGGAAUUCCUGGUGUAGCGGUGGAAUGCGUAGAGAUCAGGAAGAACACCGGUGGCGAAGGCGGCUCGCUGGGCCAUUGCUGACACUGAGGCGCGAAAGCGUGGGGAGCAAACAGG
rnacentral:rRNA from 1 species